rnacentral:rRNA from 1 species
AGCGAACGCUGGCGGCAGGCCUAACACAUGCAAGUCGAACGAACCUUUCGGGGUUAGUGGCGGACGGGUGAGUAACACGUGGGAACGUGCCUUUAGGUUCGGAAUAACUCAGGGAAACCUGUGCUAAUACCGAAUGUGCCCUUCGGGGGAAAGAUUUAUCGCCUUUAGAGCGGCCCGCGUCUGAUUAGCUAGUUGGUUGAGGUAAUGGCUCACCAAGGCGACGAUCAGUAGCUGGUCUGAGAGGAUGAUCAGCCACAUUGGGACUGAGACACGGCCCAAACUCCUACGGGAAGCAGCAGUGGGGAAUCUUGCGCAAUGGGCGAAAGCCUGACGCAGCCAUGCCGCGUGAAUGAUGAAGGUCUUAGGAUUGUAAAAUUCUUUCACCGGGGACGAUAAUGACGGUACCCGGAGAAGAAGCCCCGGCUAACUUCGUG